GUGCUCGCUUCAGCAGCACACAUAGUAAAAUUGGAACAUUACAGAGAAGAUAAGCAUGGCCCCUGUGCAAGGAUGACAUGCAAAUUCGUGAAGCAUUCCAUAUUUUU
ensembl:snRNA U6 U6 spliceosomal RNA